GGCAUAUAACCAAUUAGUAAUAAAAAGUAAAUUAAUUUUAUUUCAGAUAUGCUCUAAAUUCCAAAAAAAGCAUAGGAGAAGGAAGAGACUUCUUAUCUGGAUACAAAUAUUUUAAUGUAACCAAAUAACUAAAUUUUAUAAAACAAGUAUGAAAUUUAACCUAAUUUAUGAGUAAAAACAUAUGCCAAAAAGAGUAAACUGGGAUGCAUCAAUCUCCUGAGAAUUUGAGACACAAAUAGUUUUAAACACAUAUGAAAAUGGGUACUUCUAAUAACAAAUAAGUAAUAAAGGAAUGUGACUUUUAGAAAUAAGUCCAUUUAAAUACCAUCUGUGAACAAUAAAUUCUUCAAACUCUUUCAGAGCUGCCGGUGGCUGGAGCCCUGUCCUCCGAAUGGAUGAGAGGCAGCUACCCGCCAAGGCUUCAGGUGACAUCACAAGAAAUGGCGCGGAUCCUUAUUGCCCUGUGCCUUGGCUUCCGCAUCAGCGAACUCCGCCUUCGGUCUUCCAGGCGGCCCGUACUGCUUAGUCGGUAGCAGUGGCCCCACCAGCCCAGCCCCACAGUCCCUGGGUCUCCAGUCUUUCGCUCCUAACAACCCUAUCUGCGCUGUGGCGCUCGGGCCCAACUCCUCACCCGGAUGCAGAGGGAGAUUUGGCUACAAAAAAAAAAGAAGACAAUGUGAUCUUGAAUCAGGAUGCUACGCUGGUGACUUUGAAAACGGGAGGAGGAGGCCGGGCGCGGUGCCUCACGCCUGUAAUCCCAGCACUUUGGGAGGCCGAGGCGGGCUGAUCACGAGGUCAGGAGAUCGAGACCAUCCUGGCUAGUACGGUGAAACCCCGUCUUUACUAAAAGUACAAAAAAUUAGCCGAGCGUGGUGGCGGGUGCCUGUAAUCCCAGCUACGGGAGGCUGAGGCAGGAGAAUGGCGUGAACCCGGGAGGCGGAGCUUGCAGUGAGCCGAGAUGGCGCCACUGCACUCCAGCCUGGGUGACAGAGCGAGACUCUGUCUCAAAAAAAAAAAAAAGAAAAAAAAGAAAAGAAAAGAAAAGAAAAGAAAAGAAAAGAAAGAAAGAAAAUGGGAGGGGGAGCUAUGAGCCAAGGAAUGUCCCUGUAGAACCUGGGAAGGCCAAGGAAAGCUGCUUCUCCUCUGGUGCUUCUGGAGGGUGUCAGACACCCUGUUUGACAUUUUCAUUUUGGUCCACCGAAACUGAUUGCAGAUUUCUGACCCCUAGACCUGUAAGGGAAUAAAGACAUAUUGUUUUAAGCACCAGACCUGGGUUUAAGAGAGCUUGAGUUGAGUUUAGUGAAACAAAUUACCCAAGCUGAAGUAGAGAGCGAGAGAGGGAGAGAGAGAGACCCAUAAGGAGAUAUUUCUGCCCAGUUUCCAUUUCGCGUGGGUGGCACACGUGACAACCACUGCAUUACAAAAACCACCGUUCACCCAGGAGCUAUCUUUAAAAUUUAAAAUGGACAUUUCCUGAAUGGCUCACGUUCAGUAUUGUGAAAUUAUUGUUUCUUUUAGAGCAUUUUCAUAUUUGUGGCCCUUUUUUUCUUUCCUUAUAUAUUCCAUUCACCAAAACCAACAAUACCCAAAAUCCAUGAUUCAAGACCAAGGAAGGCUUUCGCCCAGUGACCCACAUCCUCAUAAAUACCAUGUCAUCAUGUCAGGAAAUUUCAGGCAGAAUAAGGAGGAAUUUUAUUUCAAGACCAUUGUCCAUACUGUGCUAUGCCUUUUUCUGUAUCCUUCCAACACACCCAAACAUUAACCUCUUGAUUACAGAAAAAAAGACUUUUUAGAAACCAGGACCCCAAGGGAGGGGCUUUGGCGACAUUUAGCAUUUUCUGUCAAGGAAACGCUUUGCCAUAAGAAACUGUGGAGUGAGGUGGGGUCAGGGGGCCACCUGUGACCAAUUAUCUUCCUGGCCAGCAAGAGGGCAGGGGACUGAGUGUAAUCAGGUGUCUUCCAAGAGGUGGCAAGUGUGCCAAUCAGAUAAUUUAACUUAGUUUCUUCCCCUCUUCACACAAUUUGCCACCAUUCCCUCUGGCAUUAGUCAUUCAGCUACUGCCUCACCCACUGUAUUUUGUGUAACUCUGUAAUUUUAAUUUUGGUAUUGUACUAUACAUCCUGAUAUACAUUUUGUUUCUUAGAUUUUACUUUGCACUGAAAAAUCCACCUGUUUUUGGUAUACAUGUACCUCUGCUUCAUUAGUUGUGACUCCUGCAGAGCAUGAAACUUCACACAAACUUGUAUUCACUGCAGUACUUACUCAUUCUGGUGAUGGACAUGCAGGUUGCCCCAACUCUCUGCUGCCUGAAAUUGCUGCAAUGACUGGAUUCUAUGAAGCCACUACAGAGCUAAGCUGGAAUUUCACUGAUAGACAUUCGUAGAAGUGGGAUUGCUGGGUACUCAUCAAAAAGGCUAUACAGAAAUAAACACUUGUUUAAUGCCCAUACCGUGAAAUCUAAGACCUAGAUUGUUAAGAUUAAGAUCUUACCUUUAUUUCAUGUAGAAAUUCAUACUUGUAAGAUUUUUAGUAUGACAAAUCAAAACACAGGAAGUACACCUAACUCACACUGGUCUCAGAAAAAUUCCCAGGGGAAAGUGCCUUGAGGUAAAGCUAAAAUAAUGAGUAAACUUAUGGUAAAGAACGAAGGAUUUGGGAGAAUCAUCCAAUUGAAUGAAAAUUAGACAGCAUGAAAUGUCCUCCCAUAGUAAUUGAAUCCAUCAGCAGUGACCUAAACCUGUGAAUCCAGAGAGCUUACAUGGCUCUGUCACUCCCACAACCCUCAGAGCCUGAUUUCAGCCCUUUGGGGAGAGUUUUGAUUGGCUCUAGGGCUUUCUAAGGGAUGCAGGAUAAAUUACCUGACUUUAACACCUUCUCUGUGGAUUUUUCUGGGCCAAAUCCACAGAAGUGAAACACUAGAAACUUCCUUCUUCAGUUCUUUGAAUUCAGUUUUAAGAUCAGUGAUAUUUUUCUGUGAGGAAGCUGCCUCUCUUUUUAGUUAGACAGAGGUACAAGGCAGGAAAAGACUUUUUCUUUUCCCUUUUUUUCUGUUUCCUUAAAACACACAAGAUUGAGCUCAGGCAUUCUCUUUAUCAAACUCUUCCUGUAGCUGAAAGAGGGUCUGGCUGAUUGUCACUUGUAGAAAAAAGCCAAAAGAACAAGAAUGAGGCCGGGCGUGGUGGCUCAUGCCUGUAAUCCCAGGACUUUGGGAGGCCGAGGCGGACGGAUCACGAGGUCAGGAGUUUGAGACCAGCCUCGCCUAUAUGGUGAAACCCCGUCUCUACUAAAAAUACAAAAAUUAGCUGGGUGUGCUGGCGUGCGCCUGUACUCCCAGCUACUCAGGAGGCUCAGGCAGAAGAAUCGCUUGAACCCAGGAGGCAGGGCUGCAGUGAGCUGAGAUCGUGCCACUGCACUCCAGCCUGGGCAACAGAGUGAGACUCCAUCUCAAAAAAAAAAAAAAAAAAAAGAAAAAAAAAGGAAUGAGGUGUAAUUAAAAAUAGAGUAAGUUUUAUUAUCCAUGCUAGCAAUGGGGAGAGUGGCUGGCCAAAAUUUGCCACUCUCCAAUUUCUGGAGAGAGGCCAAGCAUUUCAAGGAGAGGAGCUUGUAAUGCAGAGGGGCAAGAGGCAGGAGGUGCCCAGUGGGUGUCUCAUUCUGAUGGCUUAUCUUGAAUUAUUGUUUCACCUGGUGAAGGGGCCAGUGACAUUGUAGGCCCAAUCAAGUUACAAAUUAAUGACAGUCAAUCUUGCAGAUAAUCUCUAGCCAAGAGUGAAUAUUGUCCUUGAAUUAAUCUCCUACUGGAGAGAGAAUUCUGGAGAUGUCUGGUCUGCAUCAGGAUUCAGCCCCUGAAGCUUCUAAGGAAAUAUAUGACCAGAUAAGUGGGCAUGGUAUGAGCUUAACAAGCAUCCAGGUAAAUAAAUGAGCAUAAGGCAUGGGGGCAUAAGAUGCGAAAGGGAAGGCAGUUUUAAUGCCCAUUCCAAGGCAGUAAUUGACGACAAAAGAAAGCACAUCUGCAGUUUGUCUCAAAGCUAUGUCUAGAAACUGGGGAGAAAGAAGAAAAGAAACAAAGUUUUUAAAACGUGGUUUGAAGCUAAGCUGCUUGGUUACCUUCCAACCUUCUGCAAGAUUUUGCUGUUUUUUGUUAUUAUUAAAACAAGUAAUAGGCCAGGCGCAGUGGCUCACACUUGUAAUCCCAGCACUGUGGGAGGCUGAGUCAGGCAGAUCACUGGAACUCAGGAGUUCGGAGGGGGAAAAAAACCAAGCCUGCGCGCUCUGAGCCCCACCCCCCAUUCCCCAUGGUGUCUGAGUAGGCUCCCAGGGCGAGCAGGAUCCCUCCUCACAGGCGAGACUGGCUUCCUUGGAAAACCAAUAGUCGGACUUGCGAGUUUUCCUCCAAGAUAAUUUUCUCAGGGACUUCUAAAUGUGGUGCUGUACGCCUAUGGUCCUAGCUACUUGGCAGGCUGAAGUCGAAGGAUUGCUUGAGCCCUGGAGGUCUAAGCUGUAGUGAGCCGAGAUCGCGGCCACUGCACUCCAGCUUGGGUGACAGAGCAAGACUCUGUCAAAACAAACAAACAAAACACACACACACACACAAUGUAAACCAGGAAUAGAAGGAAACUUCCUCAACUUGAUAAUGCCCAAUUAUGAAAAACAUACAACUAAUAUCAUUCUCAACAGCGAAAGACUGAAAAUUUUUCUCCUACAAUCAGGAAUAAUGGGUGCCCACUUUCACCAUGUUAUUCAGCACAGUAUUGGCAAGGAAAAAGUAAAAUUAUCUAUGUUCACAGAUAACAUGACUUUU
rnacentral:lncRNA from 10 species